AGCCUCCACUCUAUCCGUUGACGCUCUCUCCGAUCCCUCGUUUUUACCAUUUGACUCCAAUAUUAAACUUUGACCCUCUUGGGCCACGGGUAAACGUUGUCCGAUUGGGCUUAAACUUUGCACACAUUUUUUUUUUGGCAAAUGGGAGAUAUGCAAGGGGUGAGAGGUUUGAAAUUCCGACUUACCCAAAAUAAGGACCACCCUAAUAUAUAU